UGAAGCUGUUCUUCUCAGAGCAGGAAGACUGUGGGUCUCACAUGACUUCAAGAUCUGAACCAUCUGAAUGAUCAUUUACACCCAUGCUAAAAUGUCCACAAGCAAUGCAGCGCUACCCCUUCAGGAUGAGCCUGUUAUCACACCCAGAAAAUCAAGAACCACAUGCUUUUCCUCUUGGAUGAAGCAGGACUUUGAUGGGACCUGCGUUGGGAUUUCAGCUGUUUUAGCAUGAAGAUAUAGGUCAUACAUUUUCUAAAAUUAAAAUUAUAUUCAAAAGGCCUUCCCAUCUUGCUUUCUAAAAAUUAAGACUGUAUUAUGAGCAUUGUCAUAUCAUUAAAUAUCAUUCAUUUGAAGAUUGCAUAAUAUUCCAUUAAGUGAUAGACUACAGUUUACUUAAUUGAUCUUUUUAUGUUGAUUGGUUUAAUUUCAAUAUUUUUCAUUUAUAAAUUAUAUACAAAAUAUGUCAAAUUUAGGGUCCGUUUAUGAUUGUCAUUUUUUGCAGCAACUUCCUAUAGAAAGAAUUUUUGGUGUAAGGCUAAGGACAUCAUUAAAAGUUCCUGAUAGGGCACCUGGGUGGCUCAGUGGUUGAGCAUCUGCUUUCAACUCAGGUCGUGAUCCCGGAGUCCUGGGAUCGAGUCCUGCAUUGGGAUCCCUGCGGGAAGCCUGCUUCUCCCUCUGCUUGUCUCUGCCUCUCUCUCUGUGUCUCUCAUGAAUAAAUAAAUAAAAUCUGUUUUAAAAAGUUCCUGA
rnacentral:lncRNA from 12 species